rnacentral:lncRNA from 1 species
CUUUGUUGAUCAUCACAUAAAAGAAAAAUGUUUUCCUCAGAUAAUUCUUUCUUCAGCCAAUCAAACAUUGUAAUAAAUACAGCAUUGUCUAUCUAAACCUGAAAGGAGGCACAUCAAACUUCUGUAGUCAGAAUUCCUAUAUUGUGAUUUCUAGAUCUCUACCAUGGAUAACCUUGAUUAUAAAUCACUCAUACCAAUUAAAUUAUACAUAUUGACUCUCACGUUUUCCCUCGAUGGAACUAUGAUUCUUUCCAUGCUCUGCUAGCCGCAAUACAUGAUGAAACAGAGGAGCUAUUGAGGAACUGUAAGUCAGCAACUCAAGCUAACUUCAUCCCAGAUUUCAUUUAGAAGACAGUUGGGUGUGGUCAGCAAAUAAAAGUAGACUGAAAAACACCAUUUACACCUCAGAUU